GACAGGGGUGGCAAGCGUUGUUCGGAGUGACUGGGCGUAAAGGGUCUGUAGGUGGUUUUUCAAGUCUUUGGUAAAAAGCCGUGGCUUAACCAUGGUGAGGCCAAGGAGACUGGGAGACUGGAGGCUGGGAGAGGGAAGCGGAAUUUCUGGUGUAGCGGUGAAAUGCGUAGAGAUCAGAAAGAAGGCCGGUGGCGAAGGCGGCUUCCUGGAACAGACCUGACACUGAGAGACGAAAGCGUGGGGAGCAAACAGG
rnacentral:rRNA from 1 species